GACUGCCUCAGCAUUUCCCAGUGAAGGCAUCCAUAUUGGACUGCCUAGGGAAGCCAGGGGAAGUCUGAUUUCCUUGGACACUGGACCCAGAGCAGCCUGAACAGUAGUGGCUGGUGAAAUGGGGCCUAGAGCAACAGAGCCACUGAGGUGUAGCUGGCAAGCCACUGGAAUAGAAGAUACAAGAGGCAGGCACAUGGCCCAGGACAGUGACAGAGCGUCUCAGGCACUGUGAUGGGCCAACUGCAGUUUUACAAAAGCUAAUCAGACCUGCCAGGCGUACAAGACAGCUCGUGCUGAUAAAACAACAACACUGUGUGUUUGGAUUGAGAUCAGCCAUGGUUUGCACUGUUGCAAGAAGUAGCUGAUUUUUGUCACAGCCUGUGCCAGCUUCUCUGGAUCUGGUAAGACAGGACUUAGUCUGAGGGACAAAAACGACUGCAAUGGAGGCAAGAAUAUUUAUGGUGACAACCAGGCACUGCUCCUCAACAGACAGCUCCCUCCCUCAUCUGCCUCCCCCUUCCCCCUCUGUCCUUGAGCCUGCCUCCUGCCAGCUGGGCUUCUCUCCACGCCAUCUUGCCACCUGUCAUUGGACACAGCUCCAUCCACCACCAGGCCUUGUGUUCUCGAUGAGGCUAGAAGGAGACAGGCAGAAGGGGCAAGAAAAGUGCCUUUUGAGUCUCCUGCAUGUGCAUGGAAGAUAAGAUGCCAUCUGGGGCAGGCUAGCUUGGUUGAAAUACAUUCUCCAUAUCAAAAAGAGGAUUGUGGUAUUUACUGCAGAAUGAGUUUUGGACAGUGCCACUGAAAGUCACUAUGAAACUGCGGCUGCAGAGCUCUCCCACAUGCCAUCAAUCAUGAAAUGACAAGGGCCAGAGAGUAAAGAAAAUAAACAGAUCUGAAGAGGGACACUGGAAACUAAUGCCCUAAAACUGGCACUGCUUGAAUGAAAGGUGUGGCGGGAUCCACUGUAUGUACUGCUUGUGCAGGAAAUGUGCUGGAACCCAGGGAAGACCUCAUGCCUAAGAGUCAAUCAGAUGUACAGAAAAGCUCCUACACACAAUCCCACACUUUUCACAGUCCCUGCAACUUCACAUGCACUUCACAGAUUGGGAAGGGUUUCUAGGAAAGCACUGGGGCGGUAGCAGCCAGAGAGGGAUUCUCACUGUGACAAGCCCUACCAAACUGGCACUCCCACUGGCAAGGUCCUGUGCUGCUGCGAGGGCAUGACAGGCUAAAGCAUGCCAGCUCUAGGUCCCUGCUUGUUCUGAUGGCUUGAAUGCCUAUCAUUUUUAGCUUUUUUUUCUUUUCCUUACUCAGGAAUGUUUGUCUACUGGCCUGCAUUAUAUCAUGGCAGAUAAGGAACACGCAUUUCCAUAUUCGCCCUGAAAAAGACACACUGGCUUCUUUCUGGACUUGGGUGAAUUUGGCAAAGCACAGCAAUCUCCUCACCCUCAGUGUUUGAUUGUGUAGUUAAUCUGCGUGGAAGCUCACCACAUUGAACAAAUUAAACAGGAAACCUGCAAAAUAUUAUCACACAACUACAUGCUUUCAGCUGAAAUUCCACGAGGUCCUUUUAUAUAUAUAUUUUUUUUUCCUUAGGAAGGCACAAAGCCUUUCACAAGCCUGAAGACCAGAAUGUAUUAGGCAUGCUUGCCAGUAUGCAUAUGUGCACAAUUUGCCAUGCAAAAUUUUGACCAGCAGUUUGGCGAGUGGUAAUAGAAGCCACAAGAAUAACACCCAUUCCCUUGGCCUCAGAUUUGCUUUUUUAUUCUAGCACAAUGCUCACGGCAGGUCAGUAAUGCAAGACAAAUUAUAUUAUUUCCAAAAAGCCUUCUCUCCUUGCAUAUGAGAUUGUAAUCAAGCUCAGGUUUAUCAUAAGCAGGCCAGAUUUUCUAAAGCCUCUAGUAAAACUCAUGUAAACUACACAUUAAAAUGAAUACUGCUCCUGCCUGGACGGGUAAAAGAAAAUAAAAUAUUUUGUUGUUUUCUUUUGUUUUUAAUCUCCCUGCUGUUCUUUCCGGCCACAUU